rnacentral:rRNA from 1 species
CCGCAAGGGGUAACUGAGUGGCGAACGGGUGAGUAACACGUGGGUGACCUGCCUUCGAGUGGGGGAUAACGUUCCGAAAGGGACGCUAAUACCGCAUGAGAUCCUGCCUUUGAAGAGGUGGAGAUUAAAGCUGGGGAUCGUAAGACCUGGCGCUUGAAGAGGGGCCCGCGUCCGAUUAGCUAGUUGGUGGGGUAACGGCCUACCAAGGCUUCGAUCGGUAGCCGGCCUGAGAGGGCGGACGGCCACACUGGGACUGAGACACGGCCCAGACUCCUACGGGAGGCAGCAGUGGGGAAUUGUUCGCAAUGGGCGAAAGCCUGACGACGCAACGCCGCGUGGAGGAUGAAGAUUUUCGGAUCGUAAACUCCUUUCGAUCGGGACGAACGACUGGUGAUCCAAUACAUCAUCAGAGUGACGGUACCGAGAGAAGAAGCCCCGGCUAACUCCGUGCCAGCAGCCGCGGUAAUACGGGGGGGGCAAGCGUUGUUCGGAAUUACUGGGCGUAAAGGGCGCGUAGGCGGCCUGCUAAGUCACACGUGAAAUCCCUCGGCUCAACCGGGGAACUGCGUGUGAUACUGGCGGGCUUGAAUUCGGGAGAGGGAUGUGGAAUUCCAGGUGUAGCGGUGAAAUGCGUAGAUAUCUG